CAGUUACGGUUCAUUGGAUAUUAAUUUUUUACAUGGAUAACUGUGGUAAAUCUAGAGCUAAUACGUGCACAAAAGCUUUGACCUUUUAGGAAAAAGCGCAUUUAUUAGACCAUAACCAAUGGUCCUUGGGACCUCAAACUUGGUGACUCUGAAUAACUGAGCUAAUCGCAUGGCCUAUGCGCCGGCGAUAUAUCCUUAAAGCGUCUGCCUUAUCAACUGUA
rnacentral:rRNA from 1 species